rnacentral:rRNA from 1 species
UGGGGAAUUUUCCGCAAUGGGCGAAAGCCUGACGGAGCAAUGCCGCGUGAGUGACGAAGGCCUUCGGGUUGUAAAGCUCUGUCUUCAGGGGCGAAGAAGUGACGGUACCUGAGGAGGAAGCCACGGCUAACUACGUGCCAGCAGCCGCGGUAAUACGUAGGUGGCGAGCGUUGUCCGGAAUUACUGGGCGUAAAGGGCGUGUAGGUGGACGGACAAGUCGGAUGUGAAAUACCCGGGCUCAACUUGGGAACUGCAUCCGAAACGGUCGGUCUUGAGUGCAGGAGAGGGCAGUGGAAUUCCCAGUGUAGCGGUGAAAUGCGUAGAGAUUGGGAGGAACACCAGUGGCGAAGGCGGCUGCCUGGACUGCAACUGACACUGAGGCGCGAAAGCGUGGGGAGCAAACAGGAUUAGAUACCCUGGUAGUCCACGCCGUAAACGAUGGGUACUAGGUGUAGGGGGUAUCGACCCCCCCUGUGCCGGAGUUAACACAAUAAGUACCCCGCCU